UACGAAGGUCCCAAGCGUUGUUCGGAAUCACUGGGCGUAAAGGGAGCGUAGGCUGUCGGGUCAGUCAGAUGUGAAAUCUCGGGGCUCAACCUCGAAACUGCAUUUGAUACUGCCUGACUAGAGUAUUGGAGAGGAGAUUGGAAUUCUCGGUGUAGCAGUGAAAUGCGUAGAUAUCGAGAGGAAGACCAAUGGCGAAGGCAAAUCUCUGGACAAUAACUGACGCUGAGGCUCGAAGGCUAGGGGAGCGAAAGGG
rnacentral:rRNA from 1 species